rnacentral:lncRNA from 1 species
UGGUUGUUUGUUUUCAAUUUCAUGUUAUGUGCUAAUCUUUGUCUCAUAGGUACUUGAUAUUAGAAGUUGCAUGGUAGGCCAAAGGGGGAGAUUGAAGAUACAUUGGCCUCCAUGAGUUGAUGGGGGUUCAAAGAUUUCCAAGCUUCAUGACGGAAGGUCUCUUGCCAUGUAGGUUGGGAUUUCCUACCAUAUUUCUCAUCUUCUAUAUGGGUAGAUCUAGAUAUAUAUGGAAGGGUGUUUUCAUAUAUAUUUUCAGUCUAUUUGGUAAUAAAGGCUGUUUAAGGUUUAUUAUUUAAGUGUUGUAUUUCAAUAAGUUUAGUUCCUUUUCUCUACAACUUAUUUUUAGAAAGUAGUUAUAGUAUUAGUUGUCAUUUGUUUUCUAGGGUGAUAAAAAAAGAGAGGCACGGCUGAUUUAAGAGUUAGAGGUGCUAGGGUUUGGGAUAUAUAUAUAUGGUAGAGAGAAGGAGAAAAAGGGUGUAGAAAAUAUAGGUUUCGUGAAUGUGUGCUCUAGAGAUUUUGUGUGAACAAAUAUUCAGAUCAUAGUAUAGUCCUGUGUGGCAAGAGACCUUCGUGGCUCCAUUGAAGACCUUCGUGGCUUCAAGUCCUUCGUGGCGUUUCAAGACCUUCGUGGCUUCAACGACCUCCGUGGCGUUAUCAUCCUCCGUGGCGUUAUCAUCCUUCGUGGCAACAAAGACCUUCGUGGCUUUGUAUUACACUUGACCGUGUUCUUCAAGUGUGAAGUAAUUUUUACUUUUGAGAAUAUAUUACUUUUGAUCAUAUGUUGUCAAGUAAUUGUAAUAUUCUAUUCAAUAGUAAAGUAAAGUUCUUCGAUAUAUUCCGCUGUUUAUCUCAUAAUUGUUCUAUCUAGUAUUUUCAUCGAGGACUAGCAAUAUCUAAGUUUGGGGGUAUUUGAUAGAUUCAUAUUUCAUACACUUUUAUACUCUUAAAAGUUGGAUUAUAUGCUUAGUUCUUGUCAAUUGUGAGUCAUUUACUUGGUUUUUGUGUUUUGUAGGUUGAGUUGGAGAAAAAGAGAAUUGGAGCUAAAAGUUGAACUGGGGAUUGUAGCUGUGCUUUCUAUCUUGAGUGUUCCAGAAACUGCCAUGAUGUGUGUCAACUUUUUGAGGAUU